GACGGGUGAGUAAUGUCUGGGAAACUGCCUGAUGGAGGGGGAUAACUACUGGAAACGGUAGCUAAUACCGCAUGACCUCGAAAGAGCAAAGUGGGGGAUCUUCGGACCUCACGCCAUCGGAUGUGCCCAGAUGGGAUUAGCUAGUAGGUGAGGUAAUGGCUCACCUAGGCGACGAUCCCUAGCUGGUCUGAGAGGAUGACCAGCCACACUGGAACUGAGACACGGUCCAGACUCCUACGGGAGGCAGCAGUGGGGAAUAUUGCACAAUGGGCGCAAGCCUGAUGCAGCCGUGCCGCGUGUGUGAAGAAAGCCCUUAGGGUUGUAAAGCACUUUCAGCGAGGAGGAAGGCAUCACACGUAAUACGUGUGGUGAUUGACGUUACUCGCAGAAGAAGCACCGGCUAACUCCGUGCCAGCAGCCGCGGUAAUACGGAGGGUGCAAGCGUUAAUCGGAAUUACUGGGCGUAAAGCGCACGCAGGCGGUUUGUUAAGUCAGAUGUGAAAUCCCCGCGCUUAACGUGGGAACUGCAUUUGAAACUGGCAAGCUAGAGUCUUGUAGAGGGGGGUAGAAUUCCAGGUGUAGCGGUGAAAUGCGUAGUGAUCUGGAGGAAUACCGGUGGCGAAGGCGGCCCCCUGGACAAAGACUGACGCUCAGGUGCGAAAGCGCGGGGAGCAAACAGGAUUAGAUACCCUGGUAGUCCACGCUGUAAACGAUGUCGACUUGGAGGUUGUGCCCUUGAGGCGUGGCUUCCGGAGCUAACGCGUUAAGUCGACCGCCUGGGGAGUACGGCCGCAAGGUUAAAGCUCAAAUGAAUUGACGGGGGCCCGCACAAGCGGUGGAGCAUGUGGUUUAAUUCGAUGCAACGCGAAGAACCUUACCUACUCUUGACAUCCACGGAAUUCGCCAGAGAU
rnacentral:rRNA from 1 species